rnacentral:rRNA from 1 species
UACGUAGGUGGCAAGCGUUGUCCGGAUUUACUGGGUGUAAAGGGCGUGCAGCCGGAGAGACAAGUCAGAUGUGAAAUCCACGGGCUCAACUCGUGAACUGCAUUUGAAACUGUUUCCCUUGAGUGUCGGAGAGGUAAUCGGAAUUCCUUGUGUAGCGGUGAAAUGCGUAGAUAUAAGGAAGAACACCAGUGGCGAAGGCGACUUUCUGGACAGUAACUGACGUUGAGGCACGAAAGUGUGGGGAGCAAACAGG